rnacentral:rRNA from 1 species
UACGUAGGGUGCGAGCGUUGUCCGGAAUUAUUGGGCGUAAAGAGCUCGUAGGCGGUGUGUCACGUCGGCCGUGAAAACCUGCAGCUUAACUGUGGGCGUGCGGUCGAUACGGGCAUCACUGGAGUUCGGCAGGGGAGAGUGGAAUUCCUGGUGUAGCGGUGAAAUGCGCAGAUAUCAGGAAGAACACCCGUGGCUAAGGCGGCUCUCUAGUACGGUACUGACGCUGAGACGCGAAAAGCGUGGGGGAGCGAACAGG